GCCACUGCUAUUGGGGUUCGGCCAAGCCAUGCGAGUGGAGGGCGUCCCGCAAGGGAUGGCCCCGCAGACGGCUCAGUAACACGUCGUCAACCCACCUUAGGGUGGGGGACAACCUCGGGAAACUGAGGAUAAUCCCCCAUAGGCGGGGGAGGCUAGAAUGCGCCCCCGCUGAAAGCUCAGGCGCCCUAGGACGGGACGGCGGCCUAUCAGGUAGUUGGUGGUGUGACG
rnacentral:rRNA from 1 species